rnacentral:rRNA from 1 species
AGGACGAACGCUGGCGGCGUGCUUAACACAUGCAAGUCGAGCGGAAAGGCCCUUCGGGGUACUCGAGCGGCGAACGGGUGAGUAACACGUGAGUAAUCUGCCCCUAGCUCUGGGAUAGCUCCGGGAAACCGGGAUUAAUACCAGAUACGACCACUUUAGACAUCUGUUGUGGUGGAAAGAAUUUUGGCUAGGGAUGAGCUCGCGGCCUAUCAGCUUGUUGGUGAGGUAACGGCUCACCAAGGCGACGACGGGUAGCCGGCCUGAGAGGGCGACCGGCCACACUGGGACUGAGACACGGCCCAGACUCCUACGGAAGGCAGCAGUGGGGAAUAUUGCGCAAUGGGCGAAAGCCUGACGCAGCGACGCCGCGUGGGGAUGAAUGCCUUCGGGUUGUAAACCCGUUUCAGCAGGGACGAAGCGAAAGUGACGGUACCUGCAGAAGAAGCGCCGGCUAACUACGUGCCAGCAGCCGC